rnacentral:misc_RNA from 1 species
AUGGAUACGACAGCCAGCUCGGCACCAAAAUUUGCAAAAUAGGUUGUGUUUAAGGCUGCUACAUUCUUAAACUUGUACUUAUCAUCCUCAGGUACGCCCUUCUUCAAAAUCGGUACGUUGACUUGCAGGAUUUUAAUAAACUGAUAAACGAACACAAGACCCAAUACGAUAUAAAUUAUGGUUGUCGCCGAAUCCGGUAUGAAGCCGAAUUUAUCAAUCCGCCAUGUAAGCAAUGCUAACACGCCAACCAGCGGGAAUGUCCA